GAUUUUAUAUUUACGUGGAUAAAUUUUAUUUUUUAGAAUAUUAAAAAUUUCAAGUUCAAAUUUAAACUAUUAUAUAUUAAUAUUUUUUUAUUGUUGAAUAUAUAAAAUUAUAUAAAAUUUAUAAAAUUUUUGUUAUUAAAAAUAAAAAAAUAUAAUAUAUUAAUUAUUUUAAUUAAAUAUAUUUUAACAUUUUUGAAGUUUUAAAUUAAUAUUUUUAAGAGUUAUAUUUUUUAUUAAUAUAAUGAUUU
rnacentral:tRNA from 1 species